rnacentral:rRNA from 1 species
GUGCCAGCAGCCGCGGUAAUACGGAGGGUGCGAGCGUUAAUCGGAAUGACUGGGCGUAAAGGGCAUGUAGGCGGAUAAUUAAGUUAGGUGUGAAAUCCCUGGGCUCAACCUAGGAAUUGCAUUUAAAACUGGUUAUCUGGAGUAUUGUAGAGGAAGGUAGAAUUCCACGUGUAGCGGUGGAAUGCGUAGAUAUAUGGAAGAACACCAGUGGCGAAGGCGGCUCUCUGGUCUGUAACUGACGCUGAGAUGCGAAAGCGUGGGGAGCAAACAGGAUUAGAUACCCUGGUAGUCCACGCUGUAAACGAUGUCGAUUUGGAGUUUGUUGCCUAGAGUGAUGGGCUCCGAAGCUAACGCGAUAAAUCGACCGCCUGGGGAGUACGGCCGCAAGGUUAAAACUCAAAUGAAUUGACGGGGGCCCGCACAAGCGGUGGAGCAUGUGGUUUAA